AGAGAGAAAAGGAGAGACGAUUUGAGAAAUAUAUACAAACAACGUUGGCAUGGAAACGACGUUUAACCUCCAAAAGCUGACGUCAAUUUUGAAGUGUCCAAAAAUGUUUAAUUUUAGUUCCCAUUGUUCAAGGAAUCGCAAUACGAACAAUUCCCAGAAUGUUUAGAAACCUUUAAACUAGUCGCAAAUUACCAAUCCAACAAGUUUGAUGAAAAAAUAUUACUUUUCACAACUACGUCCAUGUAUUCCCACGUGCAAGUCUGAACUUUAAGCGCCCUAAAAACCUUGCAAGGCAGAAUGCCGCUCCUUAUUGAGUAAAAUAAAAAAAUCAAAAGUU